UGGCUCAGGAUGAACGCUGGCGGCGUGCUUAACACAUGCAAGUCGAACGAGGUCCAACCUUCGGGUGAAGACCGAGUGGCGAACGGGUGAGUAACACGUGGGGAACCUGCCCUUCUCUCUGGGAUAACGUCGAGAAAUCGGCGCUAAUACCGGAUACUCCUUGCGGACCGCAUGGUCUGCUCGGGAAAGCUCCGGCGGAGAUGGAUGGCCCCGCGGCCCAUUAGCUAGUUGGUGAGGUAACGGCCCACCAAGGCAACGAUGGGUAGCCGAGCUGAGAGGCUGAUCGGCCACACUGGGACUGAGACACGGCCCAGACUCCUACGGGAGGCAGCAGUGGGGAAUCUUGCGCAAUGGGCGAAAGCCUGACGCAGCAACGCCGCGUGCGGGAUGAAGGCCCUCGGGUCGUAAACCGCUUUCAGCAGGGAUGAAACUGACAGUACCUGCAGAAGAAGCCCCGGCUAACUACGUGCCAGCAGCCGCGGUAAUACGUAGGGGGCAAGCGUUAUCCGGAUUCAUUGGGCGUAAAGAGCGCGUAGGCGGCUUGUUUAGUCAGAUGUGAAAACCGGGGGCUCAACCCGCGGCCUGCAUCUGAAACUGACAGGCUUGAGUCUGGUAGAGGAAAGUGGAAUUCCUGGUGUAGCGGUGAAAUGCGCAGAUAUCAGGAGGAACACCAGUGGCGAAGGCGGCUUUCUGGGCCACGACUGACGCUGAGGCGCGAAAGCUAGGGGAGCGAACAGGAUUAGAUACCCUGGUAGUCCUAGCCGUAAACGAUGGGCACUAGGUGUGGGGGGUCAUCGACUCCCUCCGUGCCGAAGCUAACGCAUUAAGUGCCCCGCCUGGGGAGUACGGCCGCAAGGCUAAAACUCAAAUGAAUUGACGG
rnacentral:rRNA from 1 species